rnacentral:rRNA from 1 species
AACGAACGCUGGCGGCAUGCCUAACACAUGCAAGUCGAACGAGACCUUCGGGUCUAGUGGCGCACGGGUGCGUAACGCGUGGGAACCUGCCCUUAGGUUCGGAAUAACUCCCCGAAAGGGGUGCUAAUACCGGAUAAUGUCUUCGGACCAAAGAUUUAUCGCCUUUGGAUGGGCCCGCGUUGGAUUAGCUAGUUGGUAGGGUAAAAGCCUACCAAGGCGACGAUCCAUAGCUGGUCUGAGAGGAUGAUCAGCCACACUGGGACUGGGACACGGCCCAGACCCCUGCGGGGGGGCGCAGGGGGGAAUUUGGGACAUGGGGCGAAUGCCGAACCCCCCAGGGCCGGGGAAUUGUUGAAGCCUUUAGGUUUUAAAGUCUUUUUUCCCCGGGAUGUUAUGACCGUAACCGGGAAAAAAGCCCCCGGCAACCCCCUG